rnacentral:rRNA from 1 species
CCAGACUCCUACGGGAGGCAGCAGUGGGGAAUAUUGCACAAUGGGGGAAACCCUGAUGCAGCGACGCCGCGUGAGCGAUGAAGUAUUUCGGUAUGUAAAGCUCUAUCAGCAGGGAAGAAAAUGACGGUACCUGACUAAGAAGCCCCGGCUAACUACGUGCCAGCAGCCGCGGUAAUACGUAGGGGGCAAGCGUUAUCCGGAUUUACUGGGUGUAAAGGGAGCGUAGACGGUCCUGCAAGCCAGAUGUGAAAGCCCGGGGCUCAACCCCGGGACUGCAUUUGGAACUGUAAGGCUAGAGUGUCGGAGAGGCAGGCGGAAUUCCUAGUGUAGCGGUGAAAUGCGUAGAUAUUCGGAGGAACACCGGUGGUGAAGGCGGCCAACUGGGCUUUAACUGACGCUGAGGCUCGAAAGUGUGGGGAGCAAACAGGAUUAGAUACCCGUGUAC